rnacentral:ribozyme from 1 species
GACGCAACAACCAUGAAAGUCAGAGCCUCUGUCAAGAGGAUGUGCGAACACUGCCGAGUGGUACGCAGGGGG